rnacentral:lncRNA from 1 species
AACCUUAAUCGCCCUAAUCUUUAUUCGCUUUUCAUUUGAUUGUGUGAAAUAUGCUUCUAUCAAUAAUGUAUUAAGCGGUAUCGAUUACAGUUGCUUAGUUUAUUUUGGUGUAAAUGAUUUUUUCGUUGACAUGGAUUUCGUGCUCCAACAGGAGGGUUCAUCUUGGCAACUUGACUAUCUACUAUGAAUUUUAUAGAUUCUUAGUUUAUUUGAGGCCGAAUAAUUAAGACAGGACUUGGAGAUAACAUUGCUGGAUUGGAUGACCAUAUUAUUGACGGAUCUAGUUUUUGUGGCAUUUUUUCAUGCAUUUUCUACUUAACCUUAGAGAGGUGGCAUUUGUAUGAAGGGUCGUCAUUUAAGCAUGUAAAGUGAACGUCGAUAUGACAAAUAACGACUCGACAACUGGAGAAGUGCGGUGCCGUUAACGUCGUCUCUUCUAGGCUUCGUAUUUUCUGUAGAAAAGGUUAUCAUUUAAACUUAUUAAAUGAACAAGGAGACAAAGAAUAAGGACUCAAAAUGUGGAGAAGGGGAGCUCUGUUAAUGUUGCGUCUUCUUAGACUUGAAAAGUGCAAUUUUUAGAGAACAAAUGAAGUCCAAUUCACAUUGAUGUAUUUAGGAAUAAAACUUGAGCACCGUACAAUUAACCUCGACAUCGUCCAAAUGGUGAGAAAGGAAGAAUUAAAGUUCAGAUUGAUGGCAUUGAAACAGCCAAUGUCUUGUCUUGAUUUGCUGUUUUCGUCUUCAACUUGCAACAUUAUGCAGUUAAUUUUCAACAGAUGAGUGAGAGCCAGAGGAGAUUUAUAUGAAUUUCACUGAAACAAGUUUCUGCUAUGAUAUUCCUUCUGGAUUUAGUUUGCUUUUCACACAUGCAAACUUGGGAAGUUUACAGUAGUCUACUGUUUGCUAAGGUGAGAGUAUUUAAUAUAAUUACUAUUAAUUGCUCUUUAUUAAUCUGUUAC